UUGAACCCUCAACCCUCAGCCUCAUGGUUCCCAGUCGGAUUCCCUUCUGCUGUGCCACACAGGAACUCUGAUCUCCCUUGCUUAAAGUCCACUGAUUAUGGACUUUAAUCAUAUCUACAGAAUGUCGUCACAACAGCUAGAUUCGUGUUGGAUUGAAUGAUGAGAAUGUAGCUGGUCAGACUGACACAUCAAAAGACCAGCAGACUCUCUUAAGGAGAUCUGAUAAGAAGGAAGUGUUAAAUGAAAAGGGAUAUAAUUAUAGGAGCUCAGCCAAGGAGCACGCCGCUCAUUUCUUCUGACGAUAAAGGGAGAAUGCACUGAAAAUAUAUGACUAGAAUUUGAGAAAUCCUGGAUGGAGCAAAAGUCGUUAAUUCACUCAUUCACUCACUCACGCAUUCAUCAACCAUUUGUUUCUAGCUAAUAUGUGAGACACGGAAGUUGUAACAAUAAGGCACAGCCUCUUCCAAUAAAUAGCUCCCAGCCUGGUGAGAGAGAUACAGAAGUAAAAAGGCAUUUACAAAAUGUGUGUUUUAGAAUACAAUAUUGUAGAAGUGUGUAUCUGCUAUGGGAACAGCAAGGAAGACUAAUGAGGAUAAAUGGGAAUGAAAUUGUAUUGAGGUGUAGAAAUGGGUGAUAGGCCAGUGAGAAUUCUUGCUAUGUAUGAUAAGAGGGUGCAUAAAGAAAAGGGCAAUAAAAAUAGAGAAGGUAAAAAGUUAGCAAGCAUGGAGGGUAACAUUUCUUAUGCUAAUUUUCCUCUUACAUAUUCAUGAUGUGUGGCUCCCCCACCAAGAGAAUGUGCGAUUCCACAGGCAGUAAUGAAGAUCCUUUUAUGGCCUGUGGAAAAGUAACACAAUCUCAGAGGGCAGCUGUGCAUCUGCUAGGCUGGAGGGAAGAGAACAGGCUGUAGAGAAUGUUUUCACACUUCGGGGUUGCUGAAUUUCAACUUCAGGAAGGCAGAAGAUAAGGAUGGUGGUUGAGCGCACGGGUAGCUGAAAUACCAAGAGCCUAGGUUGGCUCAGAGGGCUCCACUGGAAAGAAGGAAUGUUUAUAGCGAAUGUGUCUGUCCCCAAGGACGCCAGGUUGUUUCCGCCUUCCCCCCUACUUCCAGAAUAAACCUCUGCUGUUUUAACUUGGACUCUGGGUUGCAAGUAACAGAAUUCAAUUCAAACAGACUGAACAAAAAAUGAUUAUUUGUAAAAAUGCUGGACUAGAUCGUGGUGCCAAGAGGGGUACAAUCGCUAGGUCUCAGACCAGGGCUGUGUCUGGGGUUUUCACACUCGCUCUGCUUCUUGCCUUUCUGCUCAUUGGCUGCAUCCUCCCUGGGAACCAAUGGUCUUUGGUCUCCAGUCCCCGAGGUGGAAUAUCUGCCACAUCAUGGACUAUUGCUACCGAGGUAACAAUUGCAGCUGCCACCAUGCACACAGAGACUCUCCCAGUUCCAAAUCGGAUUGUCCUGCCUUGUGUCCCGUAGCUGCCCCAUCCAGUUGGGUGUGGACCAGGACAGGGAGCAGAGGGGCUCUGAGAUCUCCAGUGGGAGACGGGGGUUAUGGGCUAGUUGCAUGUUUUCUGGGAAGCUCCCAGAAAGACAAAGACGCCUGAGAUCCAGAGUGAAAUCUUUAGGAAACAACAGCCCCUGUGCUGGAUUUGGUUUUUUCUUGUUAGUCAAACCGUAAUAACACAGGGAACUAAAUAAACAGCUGCCCUUCUUGCUUCUCUUUCACUUUGGUCUUCCUGCCCCGGGAAUUAAAAGCCACAACCCAAUGGAUCGCUUCAUCUCUUCCUGUGUGCUUAGCGUUGUGGAUAAAUACCAGGGAUAAAGAGGAAGCACAAGACAUGGAUCUUGCAAAAAAUGAAUUUUUAAAAAAUACCUCUUGGAAUAAAUAGAAUAAAUAAAAGGAAAGAUUGAGAAUAAGCCUGUAUUAUUCUAGUACAACAUAAUAACAUGAAAUAUAUGAGAGUGCCAAAGGCGUAACGUAUUGGGACGGCUCUCUCCCUGGGCCUGUGUGCCUGUGGGUCAGUCUUCUAGGCACAGGGCGGGGAAGGCUCACCCUGUGUGUCCCCCUCCUUCCUCAGAGAGCGCUCGGGACAGAAACUCCAAGAAACGUCUGGCUGGGGAGAAGGCCAGCGUGAUUAGGACGUAGUUCUGAACCUGCCUGGUGGUUUUUGAAAUCAAAUUUAUUAGACUUCUCUCCCCAUUAAACCGUACUGCCUGUCCAUAGAUCUACAAGAGAUGGUAAUUGCUCUAUUUUUCUGAGCUUUAGCCCUUGUAAUAGUUUUAUAAUGAUAAUAUAUUUUACAUGGUAAUAUCCUAAUAAGAAUACCACAUAUAGGAUUAGGUAAAUUGUAUUUGACAAAUUUAAUUUUAAAAAGCUAACAGAAAAAAACCACAUCCCAAUGAGAUUAAACGCUGACUUAAGUUCUCAAAUGGGAAAUUGCUAGAAGGUUAAUUUUGUCUUUAUCGUGGGCUCUGCUCUCCCCUGCCAGAGGGCUUUGCAGCUGUGCUCAGAGCCUGAGCUCCAAGACCCUGAAGCACUUGUGGGUUCCUGGGUGAAUGGCAAGUGAAUUUCAAAGUGAAUUUUUCCUUAGUUAUUUUUACUACUUAUCUCUUAAUGAACCCUAUAAAGAUCAGUAAACAGAUAAAAUUUAAGUGAAUGAAUUUAGAGGUUUUAGAGGAAGAUAUUCAAUAGGUUUAAAAAUAAUUUAAAAAAAUUUUUAUGGCCACAUCUGCAGCAUAUGAAAGUUCCCAGGCCGGAGACUAAAUCCAAGCUGUAGCUGUGACCGACAUCGCAGCUCAGACAAUGCUGGAUUCGUAAACCCACUGCAGUGGGGACUCCUAAAAUAUAUAUAUAGGUGUUUUUAAAGUAGAGUUGAUUUACAAUGUUGUGCUAAUUUCCGCUGUAGGUGAAGUGACUUAGUUACACACAUACAUGCAUUCUUUUUAAAUAUUUCUUUCCGUGAUGCUUUAUCCUAGGGGAUUGGGUAGAGUUCCCUGUGCUCUACCACAGGACCUCGUUGCUUAUCCAUUCUAAAUGUAAUAGUUUGCACCUGCCAACCUCAAACUCUCAGUCCAGCCCCCCCCCCCUUCCUCGGCAACCACAGUCUAUUCUCUGGGUGUGUGGGUUUAUUGCUGUGGUGUAGCUAAGCUCACCUGCGCCGUAUUUCAGACUCCGCAUAUGCAUGAUAUCAUGUGGUAUCUGCCUGUCUCCUCUGACUUAUUUCAUUACUAUGAUCAUCUCUCCUGGCACCUGUGCUGCUGCAAACGGCACCGCUUCGUUCUCUUUCUACGGCCGGGUAGCACGGCGUCGUCGUAUGUGGGCUCCGCGCCUCUCAAUCCAGUCGUCUGUUGAGGAACAUUUCAGUGUUGUCCUGUCUUGGCUGUUUUAAACUCAGUGUAGCACCGAGGACACUCUCUGAGGUUAUGACGGUCCGUUUUAUGUGCCAGCUUCGUUGGGCCCCAGCACUCGGAGACGUGGGCCGGCGCUAUUCUGUCUCGCGAGGAUGUUUGGAGGUGGGACGAACGUUCGCACUGGUGGACGCUGAGUAAAGCAGACUGGCCUCCAUAGUGCGGGUGGGCCUCGCCCAGUCCUCUGAAGGCCUGAAGACCGACUGUCAUGAGCAAAGGGGAAUUCUGCCAGCAGAAGGCCUCUGAACUUGAACUGCAACGCUGGCUCUUGCCUGAGUCUCUAGCUCGCAGGCAACCCCUGUGAUUUUGGGCUUUUUGGCCUUGUUAAUUGUAUGAUUUAAUUUCCAAAAAUAAAUCUCUGUCCCUCUCCCUCUCUCUCUCUCACACACACACACACCCCUUCUAUUGCUUCUGUUUCCCAGGCUACAUGGUAUUGAGUUCUGUUAUUUAAAGGGGAAAAAAAAAAAAAAAGGAGUGGAAAAAUGGGAAAAAAUAAAGCAACUCCCUUUAAGAGUAGCUCCUGUUAAGAACGUCUUCAAGUGGUACAGAUCCUGUUAUUUCCUUUAAAACACCGCCUCUUGAAUGUAUAAGUUUAUAAAUCAUUUAAAAGGUGCUUUAUUUAAGCAAGUGCUUAAUGAAUUGGAACAAAAGCUGCAAUAAGAAAUAGGUUAUGUGGGGACACAUUUUAACAAGUAUUAGAUUGUGAACUCAUGGACGACAAGGUCAUUUGUGUCAUAUCAAGUUCACUCUCUGAUUUAUUGUAUUGACCCAUAUGAAACUGCUGAUAUUUGAGUGUGUCUGACCUAUUAAAAAAGCAAUUACAUGUGGUUCAAUCUGAUAGAGGUGUAUCGUGUUCUUACAUGAUAAAGGACAGAAAAGAGCAUUUCUGGAUUUUUCCCAUAGAGUUUCCUUGAUUUAGAAUCAGUUUUUUUUUUUUUUUUUUAUGACCAGUAGGUGAGUGAAUAUAAGGCGACGAUAAAUACUUUAUGUGAAGAAUAUACAAACGUGGACAGGAUGAUUGAAUCUGUUAAGUAUUUUUCAUCAAGUUUUGAAAUUUAAGCUCCUUUUUUUUGACUACACUGCAACAUUCCUGAAAUCGUAGAUAUAAUCCCCCCUCCCAUUAAUGUCGCCACCACCUAAGGCACAGUCCAUGCAGGUGGACUGCCUGUGUGCCAGGUGUUCACAUGGAUGCUACUGAAGUGCCAGCUGGUGGUGAGUGUGUCUCGCAGGUGUUACCAAAAAAUCAGUGCAAGGGUGACUGGUGACCUGCCUGGUGACCCUUCGGCGGGCAGGAUCCGGAACUGAGUAAAAAAGUCCCUACACUUGGGUGGCACCUGACAGUUUGGAAAGCUCAUUCUCCUUUCAUCUUCACGCAGACGGCCUAGGCUGCGCUGUCUUUCCCAUGUGUACGUGGAGACAGCUGAACUCACUUGCUGAGCUUGCAUGAUUUAACGGAAGGACCUGGAACUUUCAGUCACUCCGGGCAUCCUCACUUUCCGACCGAGAGAUUGACCCCGGCUUGCCUGCCCUGCGCUCUUCUCCUUCCACUCUGCUUGUGACCCACUUUGUGGAUUAGCUCCCUACAGGACCAUGAGUUGCUCAUGUCACAGGAUUCUGCAAACGUUUUCAAGACUGUGUUUUCAAGGAAAAUCUUAGCAGCUCCACGGUGCCCUCUGGGGUGUGGUCCCCUCUGUCUCUGAGCUUGUUCUUGUUCCAAAGUACUGUGCUGACUCUGCAGACUGCCCAGAAAGCACGUGGGCUUUGAAAUCAUAGCCAUCUGCCUGCAGCAGAGCUGGCACCGUGGCCUCAAGCAGCCGGCUGUUUAUAAGACCCCCUCACUUGCCUAGUGAAGAGACAACAUCAGGAUACCUGCGUUGCGUAGUCAGCUGAAUUCAGAAACUGUGGAACAUAAGGGAAGAAAAAUUAGUGAAGGACUUCUUAAGGCCCUGCCCCAAGUGCUAGAGAGCAGCAGGGACUAAGUGGGAGACGCGUGGCCGUAGACCAGUCUGGCUCUUAGCACCUGAGGAUGGAAGAAUUCUUUACCCGCGAAGGGGCGGACCGACAGUCCAUCUCAGAGAAGACACCCUGGGGGGCAAGAGCCGAGCCUGGGUCUGCCUCCUGUCUGCCCAGGACCCUGCCCACAGCGCAGGCACACAGAGGGGAAGAAAAAAAUGGUCAAAAUCAGCAGAACGUUCUUUGCAGUCUCAGCAUAACACCGACUCUCUAGUUAAGGAAAAAUUACCACCUCUGUUUCCAUGUGCUUUAGCUCUCUCGAUUGUGUCUUUUGUUCUUGGAAGGAAAAAAAGUUGCCAUUCUCUUUUGCUAUGGGUUAUCUAAAUCUGUGUUCCUGACUGUAUAAAUUCACAGAGUUUGUGAAUACAUCUUCAAAUUUACUUCACAAUUUCCCUAAUGAUAGAUUUUCUUUCUUGUGAAUUUAGUCUUCAGGCUUUUGCCUGGACAUUUACAGUUGCUGCAUUCUUUCUGGCUCAGUGCCGCAGGGACAGUUCUGGCACAAAACAAACAUUAACAGACGGGGAUAUAAGCUCAAUCUCUUAUCUUACUAAUUACCACCCAUUCCCGCUGACAAAGUCUUCAGGUCUUAAAGAGAAAACAAACAAUUUACCUGAAAAGCAGAGGCAAGCUAUGCAUGUCUUUGCACCUGGCUGGCUGGGUUCUGUCAGGGGAAUUUUCAGGGCUGACUUUCAGGAGCACCUGGGGUAACGGAGUCACCUCUGACCGAGAGUCUUACAGCCAAUAACAGCUAAUAAAUUGAUCGUUGAUUUCAUCACUUGUAAAAUUGGGAUGAUCAUAGCUGCUUCACAGUGUUUGAAGAUCAAAUGCACUGACGAAUGAGAAAUGGCUUUGCAAGCUGUAAAGUGCCCUAAGAGCUUUAGCUGUGAGCAGGGUGAUUGCUAAGGUUUAGGGAAGUUAGAGUCUCUUCUGCCAAUAUGAAGUUGCCCUUUCUGUUUUCUCUUCUCUUCUCUUUUUUUUUUUUUUUUUUUUUUUUGUCUUUUGUCUUUUUGUCUUUUGUUGUUGUUGUUGUUGCUAUUUCUUGGGCCGCUCCCGCGGCAUAUGGAGGUUCCCAGGCUAGGGGUUGAAUCGGAGCUGUAGCCACCGGCCUACGCCAGAGGCACAGCAACGCAGGAUCUGAGCUGCGUCUGCAACCUACACCACAGCUCACGGCAACGCCGGAUCGUUAACCCACUGAGCAAGGGCAGGGAUCGAACCCGCGACCUCAUGGUUCCUAGUCGGAUUCGUUAACCACUGCGCCACGACGACGGGAACUCCUGUUUUCUCUUCUCUUAAUGAAUGAAAUCGUCCAUAGGUUUUAUAAUAAGAACACACACACACACCCCCACAAUUCCUUAUAGAUUUCUUUCUAAGAAUUCUCGGAAGAUUGGUUUUAAAAAUCCUAAGACUUUUGAGAGGGCUUGGCAAACUGUGGCCCGUGGACGAAAUCUGGCCAGCUGCCGGUGUUUGUGAAUAAAGUUUGAUUAGAAGGCCGCCUGCCUAUUUGUUUACAAAUUAGCUGUAGCUUUUGCGCUGCAGCAGCAGAGUUGGUUACCUGCCGUAGACUGCCUGGCCCGAAAAGCCUGAAAUACUCCCGAUCUGGCCCCGUACGGAAAUGUUUGGUGACCCUCCUGAGUUAGAUCAAAGGAUGUGGCAAAAUAAAUGGUAACGUCUCCGUCUGAACAUACUCUUUAAUAUCCCCAGGGAUCCAGUUAGAUGGGCAUUUUGAUACACCGGUUAUGAGCAUGUAAAUUGGUGUAGCCUUUUUAGAGGGCAAUUUGGCAAUAUGUUUAUAGAGUGUUUGAAACUUUUUCUCCCAGUUUUAGUCACUGAGUAUAAAUACAAUGAAUAUUCACAAUGUUUACUCCUGAGAUUCGGUACUUCACAUGUUUUUAAAAACAAGCCAACAAAAACUCUUAAAAUUCCUUGCUGUCAGUUUUAGAAUCUUUAUAAGACCCUGAUGAAAACACAGACAUAUCGACUUACCAAUGAUGUUGUGGGGAAAAUAUGCCCCCCCUUCGGAGCCACUUCAGCGGCGAUGGUUUAAGGAGCCAUAGAGGCGAGCCUUUCGGCAUGUGGAGGGCACAUCCUGUAUUUUGUAAGUAUAGAGCCUAGUUUUAGGUUUCCUUUAGGUUGACCAGAUCGUGGGCUCUAAGUGCGUCUGUGUACCUUCUGAUCAGUAUUUCUUCUUCUCAUAUAAUUAACACACACACACACAACAACAACAAUUCAGUACUGGUAGCAAAAAUAUUAUUAUCUGUUUCAACGUCUCUGUUUCUGAAGCAGUUAACUUCAUGUGGAAAGCCCUCAUGGUUCACCAACAAUGUCUUUGCUUUGGUAGAAAGGAAUUACAGUGGCUGAGGACAUGGCUUUAAAGACUCAGUAAGAAAAAGGAAUCUUUCUGGUUAGAACAGCUAAAGUUGCAAGAGGAAAACUUUGCCC